CCUGGUCGUAGUUGAUCUGUGGUUUGUUUCUAAUCGCCAUUCAGCAUCGUGCCAGUCCCCGCUAGCUUUUACCGUUAGGUCAAUUAGGAGCCAAUUAUUUGUGGGUGGCGUCUUUCCUGCGUGGCACUCUACAGCCAAUGUGGUGAAUCUAUCUUUGCAAUACGAUUGCUAGCUUGGUUCGAUAGUGUAGUAUUUCAAGAUCGAUCGGUUGUUAGGUGAUUCUCAGCAGCACAUUUUAUUCUACCGUGGAUGUUCUCAUGCGUGCGUGAGCGAUGCCUUGCGGGACCCGCAUCAACUACUUCUCCUCGUGUCCUCGUCACGUUGCAUGAAAAACAGGGUGGUCUCUGAAGGCAACGAAGGAAGAGCCUAGCUUCACAGCAUGGGGAUUGCCGCCACAGAACCUCCUACACCACCUGAUCCGGAAGGUGGUGCCAGCGAGGCUGCAGCUGCGAGCAGCGCGGAUUCGCCUGGACCGCAGUCCCGAUGUCUGGGAACUUUCCAGCGGUUUGCGGCCCAGUUUGGCGAGGAUAUUCCGCAGAGUGAUAUGACGUACUAUGCGCCUCGGUGUUGUGCA